GUGUCAGCAGCCGCGGUAAUACGAAGGGACCUAGCGUAGUUCGGAAUUACUGGGCUUAAAGAGUUCGUAGGUGGUUAAAAUAGUUGGUGGUGAAAUCCCAGAGCUUAACUCUGGAACUGCCAUCAAAACUUUUUAGCUAGAGUAUGAUAGAGGAAAGCAGAAUUUCUAGUGUAGAGGUGAAAUUCGUAGAUAUUAGAAAGAAUACCAAUUGCGAAGGCAGCUUUCUGGGUCAUUACUGACACUGAGGAACGAAAGCAUGGGUAGCGAAGAGGAUUAGAUACCCUCGUAGUCCAUGCCGUAAACGAUGUGUGCUAGACGUUGGAAAUUUUAUUUUCAGUGUCGCAGCAAAAGCGAUAAGCACACCGCCUGGGGAGUACGACCGCAAGGUUAAAACUCAAAUGAAUUGACGGGGACCCGCACAAGUAGUGGAGCAUGUGGUUUAAUUCGAAGAUACGCGCAGAACCUUACCAACACUUGACAUGUUCGUCGCAACUCUAAGAGAUUAGAGUUUUCGGUUCGGCCGGACGAAACACAGGUGCCGCAUGGCUGUCGUCAGCUCGUGUCGUGAGAUGUUGGGUUAAGUCCCGCAACGAGCGCAACCCUCACUUUUAGUUGCUACCAUUUAGUUGGGCACUCUGAAAGAACUGCCAGUGAUAAGCUGGAGGAAGGUGGGGAUGACGUCAAGUCCUCAUGGCCCUUACGUGUUGGGCUACACACGUGCUACAAUGGCAUCUACAACAGGAAGCAAGAAUGCGAAUUUAAGCAAAUCCUUAAAAGAUGCCUCAGUUCGGAUUGUACUCUGCAACUCGAGUACAUGAAGCUGGAAUUACUAGUAAUCGCGGAUCAGCGUGCCGCGGUGAAUACGUUCCCGGGUCUUGCACACACUGCCCGUC
rnacentral:rRNA from 1 species